ACUUAAGUCCAUGCUACCCUGAACAAGCGCAAUCCCGUCUGAUCUCAGAAGCUAAGCAGAGUCGGGCCUGGUUAGUACUUGGAUGGGAGACCACCUAGGAAGACCAGGUGCUGCUGUAGGUG
rnacentral:rRNA from 1 species